CAGCAUAAUAAAGAAUUUGUGAAUGAAAGGAACACAAUAUUUCAGAAUAUAUGACGUCCUAGCCUUUUAUGCCAAGUUCAAACUCCACCAAUUUCAAGUUGCUAUGAACCUUGAAUUGUGACAUUUGAGCAAGCAACUCUUUUGGGUUUUCACAUCAAAACAGAAAAACUAGUUAGCAAAGCCUAAAAUAUGCAACCAUAUUUACAACAAAACAAUGAUACUGAGAUAUCAUUAGAAACUCUGAAACAGUAUGCAUCAAUACCUGUACUGGAAAAAGAGGAAGCAACAGGCAUCUGAAAUUGCUAACCAAAGAGAAUCUCAAAUGGACUGUGGGAUUUGCUGGAUAGUAUGAAACAAUUUCAAAGGUUUUCUGCAAAUACUUAAGGAGACUGCAAAACAUUUGAGUAGUGUCAAACACCUGAUUUGUCACAAUCGUGCAUAAUAACUUUCCAUUAUGAUGAGAGAAGAAAAAGCAGUAAGGAGGAAUGAGAGAAGAUUUUGCAAGAAUUGUCUGGUAAGAAACCUGGACAAGCUCAGGCUUCAUCUGAUUUGAAAUAUUUAAAUUCAAGACUUAACCUUAGCCAGCAAAAGAACAUAGUGGUUUAUUUUUCCUCAUCUCUCAUGUAUUAUAAAAAGCAUGAAUGUUUAAAUGAUGUCUAUAGAGAUAAACUUUCUAGGUAGUGCAUUUAAAAGACUGUACAGACUAUAGAUUUCCCUCCUUAGCUAUUUGUGAAAAUUUGGAAAAUGUUUUUGCCUAAUGGGAAAACAGAAUCUAGACCACUGGGGAUGGGGGUGGGGGCUCCCACCAUGGUGUGCACUGCUUCUCUGAUGUUUUAGUGGCCAUGGAGGGGAUCUGGCUGCAGUUACAGCUCUGCUGUUGUCAUUGUCACAUCUAUUUCCGACCCAGUCUCUUCUGCUGUGUGGUGGGCUUGGCGAUUGCUCCCGCUGCAGUUCCUUUGUUAGAGAUUUGCCCUCUUGACACAUCUGAAUGAAGAAGUUGCAGUACGAAAAGAAGAUUGGUGACAGACUCUGCAAUUUCAUUCCCUGUAGUAGGUCCUGAAACCUUAUCUACAUGUCAUCUGGCUAAUCAGAGGUCCAUGGUGAGAUCUGUCAGAGAUUUCUGUUUUAAAAAAGAAAUUCAGACACAGUUGACAGGAGAAUAGGAGUGCUUCUUCGGUCCUGUACCAGCACUGUCUAUUAUGCCAGUGCAAGCCUGAGGCUGUAGUGACAGAGGAACCUCAGGGUAGCCUCCUAAGGACAUCAGCACAGGUGGGCAGAGCCCUUUCCCUCCCUCCACAACAACAGAACCAAACAAAGGACCCACCACCACAGCAAAAAGCAGGGACAAGGUAAAAAUAGAACAGCUGAACAUCAGUGUGAACACAUUUGUGAGAGAAUAUAAUGAAACUCAUGAAUCAUACAAUCAGUUAGAUAGUGUCAAAUGGGGCAACUAUAUCUUCCCAAAGGGUUGGAAGUUCAUGUCUGUAACCAAGCCAAUAAAAUCAUCAAGCAGAAAAUGCCACUUUAUUACUUAAGAAUUUAUAAAACCUUGGAAAUUUAAAAAUGUACACUAAUUUAUAAUACUUGUCUCUGGAAAAGCAACUCAGUUUCUUGGUGGCUCCUAAUCCUUUUUUCUCUUAAUACAAAGAUUAAUACAGUGUACAAAGUACACUGACCUUGGAACCAAACCUUAAUAGAAAUGAGAAUACAGAUAUCCAUUAGACUCUGCAAACCUCUCUAUGAUUCUAAGUAAAUUGCACUUGUGAGUUCCACAAGAGGAAGUGCAGUUCAAUUGUUAAGAACACAGGCUGCAGAACUGAAUAUCUGGCUUCAAACUCUGG